rfam:Xenopus tropicalis strain Nigerian Chr04_contig_3435, whole genome shotgun sequence.
GUGGAGGGAAGCUCAGUGCUGAGGCUACAGACAGAGUGUAGGGGUCACUCUAUGUGCCUCAGGGAAGGUCUGAGACUGGAGCUCCUAGUUGCCCCUGCAGGGCAUCCCUUGGAUGAAGGGGGUGGGUCCCCAGAGAACUUGGCUCUGAUUGCCCAGUGAGUGCAAAAGAUGCAGCAAGUACCCAAUGUUGUGCUUCUGCAGAUGCAAAGGCAUCAGGCUUGGCACUGCCCCACAGCUGGCACAUUCAAGCUCAAUGGCUGAGAGGGAACUGCCUGUGGUUUCCCAACCCAAUUCAGACUACUCUCCCUCCAC